rnacentral:lncRNA from 1 species
AGAAAUAUAAACAUUUAUUGGUAAAAUAAGUAUAUAGCUUACUUAACAUAAAUCUUAUAUUACAAAUGUUGAUGCGAUCUUUUUAUCCUAUAUGUUGUAAAAACUGCCCGCGACAACGUGGUCGGCUUAGAUAUGUAACUUGUCCUAGAAAUUAUAUAAUGCCAAGGGCCUAAGGAAAUCAAAAUUUGCAAACAACCCCACAAUGAGUCAUAGAGAGAGGAAGGAAUAAUUGUUUGAGAUAGAGAGAAGGGAGAAUAAUGGUUGGAAUAGAGAGAGAGAAGAAAAGGUGGUGGAGUUAGUUUUGUCAAGAUGUAGAAAAAGGUGUUUAGUUUGAGGAAUAAAAAAAUAUAACACAAUAAAAAUAAAAUUAUACUUCUUAUACUUUCAUUUGUCCAAUUCUAGUUUUGAUAUUUUUAAUAAAUCUUAAAUUUAGUUGAAGGUUUAAAGACUAACUAAAACGUAUAUAGACUAAAAUUGAAUUAAAAAAAAAAGUGUCAAACCAACUAAAUAUUUUAACCUAAUAAUAAUAAUAAAAAUAGAAAAGGCAAAAUGGCAUUUUCCUCUUUCCAACCAAAACAAAUUCACACUCCAUUCCCACCCAACUCAACUUUACAUGACAAACCCCUUUCUUUUCUCUCACUCUUAUAUAUAUAUCAUAAUAUUCUUCUACUUUUCCAACACCAAAUCCAUCCAAUC